rnacentral:rRNA from 1 species
GACGAACGCUGGCGGCGUGCUUAACACAUGCAAGUCGAACGGAAAGGCCUGCUUUCCCUUGUGGAUUUCGGGUACUCGAGUGGCGAACGGGUGAGUAACACGUGAGUGAUCUGCCCCCAACUUGGGUAUAAGCCGGGGAAACUGCUUCUAAUGCCCGAUAGGACUGCAGGGUGGUUCCGGAGGUGGAAAAGGAUUUGCUAGUGGUUGGGGAUUAGCGGGCGGCCGAUCAGCUUGUUGGUGGGGUAAUGGUCUACCAAGGCGGCGACGGGUAGCCGGCCUGGGAGGGCGGACGUCCGAGUGGGGACUGCCACACGGCCCCGACGCCUAGGCGCGGAAGCCGUGGGGAGUCAGGAGCGAGGAGCGGAGCCCUGAUGCCGCAACGCUGAGUGGGCGAUGCCGGCUUUGGGAUUGUAGACUCCUGUCGGCCGAGAGGAAGCCACAUGGUUGGAGGGGUAGUGACGGUAGUGGCAGAAGAAGCACCGGCUAACUACGUG